AUUGCUUCUCGGCCUUUUGGCUAAGAUCAAGUGUGUAUAUCUUUCUAUAGUGAAUAUUUAUACAUACUGUUUGUAGAAAAUUUGAAACAGGCAGAAAAUCAGAACAGAUAGUGAAAUAUCCAUUAAUCUGAAAUGGUUAAGAUUU
rnacentral:snRNA from 1 species